GGUAGGAUGGCCGAGUAGGCAUUAGACUGUAAAUCUAAAGACAGGGGUUUUAGUCCCCUUUCUACCA
rnacentral:tRNA from 1 species